ACGAACGCUGGCGGCGUGCUUCACACCUGCAAGUCGAGCGAGGCCCCUCCUUCGGGAGGGUGUCCUAGCGGCGAACGGGUGAGUAACACGUGGGCAACCUGCCCUCAGCUCUGGGAUAACUCCGGGAAACCGGGGCUAAUACCGGAUACGACCUCCACGGGCAUCUGCGGAGGUGGAAAGUUUUUCGGCUGAGGAUGGGCCCGCGGCCUAUCAGCUAGUUGGUGGGGUAGUGGCCCACCAAGGCGACGACGGGUAGCCGGCCUGAGAGGGCGACCGGCCACACUGGGACUGAGACACGGCCCAGACUCCUACGGGAGGCAGCAGUGGGGAAUAUUGCGCAAUGGGCGAAAGCCUGACGCAGCGACGCCGCGUGAGGGACGAAGGCCUUCGGGUUGUAAACCUCUUUCAGCAGGGACGAAGCGAAAGUGACGGUACCUGCAGAAGAAGCACCGGCCAACUACGUG
rnacentral:rRNA from 1 species